rnacentral:tRNA from 1 species
GAGACUCUAGUAAAUCAAUUACAUCACCUUGUCAAGGUGAAAUUGUGGGUUAAACUCCCACGAAUCUUA